rnacentral:tRNA from 4 species
GGGCCCAUAGUAUAGCCUGGAUAGAAUGCGAGCUUGCGGAGCUCGAGACCGGGGUUCGAAUGCACUUCUUUUGCCUGCGGGGCAA